AAUCAGCUGGACUUCUAGAAAUCAAUACUUCAUUGACUUUCUUACCAAAGUUCAGAUUUCUGAUACUAGAUUGUUUUGAUAAGACUUUAUCAAAAUCAUACACCUUCCCUUAGAUAGCACACUUGUGUGUCUAAACAAUUAUGAAGAGGGAUGCCGUAAUCAUAAUGGUUAGACCUUUUUGCCACUUCUCACAAGUCCAGGUUAGUGUGCCGGUAAACCACACACGCUCCACUAACGACUUUGAGAAUGCAAAUAUCACAAUUGCUAUCUAGCUAAAAUCUACUUAGUGAAAGUGUUUCCUCACCAUCAUUUUCAUGAAUCGGAGAGAAACCUUAUGACACUUAGAUUUAAUGGUGUAUGUGUUCUUAUCCAUGUGAAUUGUCAAAACCAUAGUCACAAGACAAGGAUAAUGACAAAUCCAAACUCAUAUGGAUUGAACUCAAUCUUAACUUCUUGCCACCUGGCAGCUCAAGGGCCUGCCAUUGCUUCCAAGUUGUUGUGCAACACAUUGAGAACUCUAAUAACUCAUAUGCAAAGCCAAAUUUAACUGGAAUGGGCACAGACUAUGUCAACACGAUAGGUUAUAAACCUCAAGUCGUGUGCUAGUGAAGAACUUUAUGUUUUAUUCUUGAUUAGUUCUUGAGACUUUCAAUACCUUUAAGACUCCCACUGUCCUCUUGACCUAUAAGACUCCCUUGUCAAACAUCCAAGAGAUAGUGCAGAUUCUAAUCAAGACAAACACUUCACACAAUUGGCCUUAGUUGGUCUUUGUUUUAUCCAAAACAUCACAACUUACCAAUUUCAAAUGUACAAGAGUAGAAAACUUUUACUCUUACAUUUGACAAGUGUUUUAAACCUUCUUUAAGACAUGUCACUCAAGUGACAAUCUUGGAGUAUGACUCUAGACUUAUAUUGGAACGAAGUAUGACUCAUCUUCUUGAUUUAACCAUUUCAACAAGUCAAGACUCCUCUUCUUAGUCAUAAGAAUGCACUAAGAUCCCCUUAGAGAAAUAAUUGUGCUAUGGUUUCUUAAUCAUUAAGAUGAUCACAAAACUGAUACUAAAGUACUCUCCCAUCUUUUCAGAUUUGAAAAACUUUUAUCUUUCUGCCUAUUGAUUCUUCUUAUUCGCUCUAUCAUACAUUGGAACCUUUUUCCAAUGUCUCAGAGUUACACUUAAGAUUGUAAGUAUAAUCAUGUUUACUAAGCUUUUGUAAACUAUAACGAAUAUUUUUAUCAAUCUUUUGUGGUGGACUUGACCAGUGCACAAGAAUGUGUACUCGAUCCCUUACCCCUUCACUUGACUCACACAUCCAUGUGAACAAAUAAUUAGUCUUAAUUUUCCAAUACUUGAAAUUUCUCAUUCGUCAUGUUAUACCCCUUACAUGAUUCCAAGUCCCGGUCCAAAUGAAACUUGGGUGAUGAGAAUCUUUCCUUAUUUGGUAAAUUUAGACAUUACCACAAAUGAAAGAAUCAAUUUCAUAUUUCCACUCUUGCUAUUAAUGGAAUCAUAUAAGCAACAAUUUUUCCUCAAAUGCCAUUGUAAGGAUAUUUUAAAAUAAAUAAAAUCAAAAAAAUUUUCUUUUAUUUUAAAACUUUGCGGAAAAACUUAUCCUUACAAUCCAUAUGAAAACUUGUUGUUAUCUAUUCCUAAGCAAUAUCUCAUAACUCCUAAGAAGUAGCUCAAGAAUCCGAUCUUCAAACUAUGCGAUAGAAAUCCAUCUACGCCAUCAGAUUCAGCAUAUUCUUUCUUUAAGUUUCUUCACUUUUCUUUGAUUCUUAAAACAUCACCAUGUGACCCAGUCACAUCAUGUAUCAAGAAUCUCAGAAUAGAAACUUAACAGAGUUAGAUAGUGGAAUUUACCUGAAGUAGAGUCAAACUUAUUGACUUUAACAUCCUUAGGUAAAUUUGGCAGCUUCGCAACCAAUGCCCCUUCCUUUGGCAAUAUAAACAUAUGGACCCUUUGAUAAUGGUACACGGGACUAUCAUAGACUUAGCUUUUCUCUUUACCAUUUGGUCAACCGAGUUGACUAUGGUCGAUCCCUUUCCACCGGGAAGAGAGAGCUUUACUAGAUAUCCAAUGUCAUCAUUGUCAAUGUCCAUAAAGUUUUAGGAAGUUGAUCUUAGCAAAUAGAUAAGAUCAUUAAGGGUUUUGUCAUAGUCUAUUUCAUCGGUGUCCCAAAGGAACUCACUAUGUGACUUAGAAAGUGAUUGAGCCACCAACUUUCUCAAGACUUUGACACCCAACUCUCCCGGCUUGUCAAUAUGUGACUACAUCUCCAAGACGUGACCACACCUAGACCUUGACAUGCUAAUUGGGCUUGAGUGACCUUAAAAUUUUCAUGAACCUGUGGGUUGGGGAGAAUAAUCGGAGGAGGUGAAUGAAGUAUGAUUUCCAAGGGUCAUCAUCUUCGUUUAGGAAAGCUUGUUUCAAGAGAUUUGGGAAGAUCAUAAAUGUCUAAACCAGACAUGUUGUGGGAGAUAUUCAAGAUAGUUGAUCUUAAGUCCUUAAUAUGACACCCAAUAUGAAAUAUUAAGUUUAGGACCCAACAAACUAUUUUAUAACUUAGAAUAGGUAUGUCGUAAUCCAAGCUAUAAAACAUUUGAAGGUAGGUGAAUGACGAUUCACCAAUUUCCACCAAGAUAAACGAAAUGUAUUAUUAGGUUUUAAUUGGUUUUGAAACUCCUAGAUCUUUGAGAUUCAUUGAACUUUUCAAAGGCAUGUUUCAAUCUCGAGUGUGCCCUUCAGGUUUUGUGACUGGGAUGCCGAGGAUCACAAAACAAGGUGUGAAGUAACCAUGCAAAUCACUUGGUACCCUUAAUAAAUUACCCCUCAAUCGAUGUGCCGGUUAACCACACACGCUCCAUCGAUACUAUGAUAAAUAUUAAGUCACCCUUUACCUACCUUGUUAAGUCCAAGUUAGUGUGCCGGUUAACCACACACGCUCCACUAACGACUUAGACAAAGUGUAAAGUGUAAUUUCAUGGAUUAGCACCUUAUUCACAUUUUUCCUAAGUAACUAAGAUUGGGUAUUAUUAAGAGUUUAGUUACUUAGUAUUAUCAUUAAUACUUUUAAUGAAGGGAGAAUUCUAGUCCUGUCAAACCCGUUCGGCUAACGACCCUCCACCAGUCAAGCAAGCGGUGGGUGAGAGUGGACACCCAUUAAGUUGCCAUUUUAUAGGCAACAACCUUAUACCCACCUUAUAGACCGGCUUCGUGAAUGAGGCGUACUAGCGGUAAGACUGACUUUACUCUUAUACAUAUAUAUAUUAUUAACUUAUAAUAUUAUAAAGUAUAAGGGUUGAAUUUUAACUUUUAAAAUUCUAAGGGCUAACUUGGAAUUAAAGUAUUCAUAAGUGAAAACUUUACAAAUUCCAAAACUUGAGGGCAAGUUUUGAAACUAUUCAAAACUAAUUAAUUCCAUAACUUAUGUGUUUAAAGUAGUUUUAAUCCAAAAACUCUUCAAGUUCCAUAACUUGAGGACAAGUUAUGGAAGACUUUAAACUAAUAAAAGAAUUAACUUUUCUUUAUUUUAUAACUUAUGGAGUUAAAUAAGGUUACACUUUUUUAUUUAUUUAUUAUUUAAUGAAGAGACUCUUGGUCCUCCAUAACUUGAGGACAAGUUAUGGAGUCAUAAAACCAUUUAAUUAGAACUAUACUCUUCAUUUUGUAACUUGUGCCAACUUUUAUGAGUUUUAUGAAACUUAAGUGUGACUUUUCAUAUAACAUGAGGACAAGUUACAAAAACUCAUUUUAGAAUCAACUCUUAGAUUAAAAUGGAUUGAAAACUCAUAAUCAAUUAACUUUUCCUAUUAAUCUAAGCAACUCAUAAGAACAAGAUAAUUCAAAUCAAACUUUUUCAUGUAAUUAGUCUAAACCUUAAACUAAUACAAAACAUGAAUCUAUUGACAAUUAUCUUUGAAAUUGGAUUAGCAUGAACAUUACCACAUCAAAAACAAGUUUAUAAGUUCAAAAACAACUUAGGGUAAUGUUCCUAGUCCAUUUCUAGCCAAAAACCUCGAAAAUAUGCUGUCUGGGGCUCCUACUCGGCGAGUGCAUGAACCUACUCGGCGAGUAGGAUGAUUUUACUCAUGGACUCGGCGAGUUCAUCAGUGGACUCGGCGAGUCCAGUGCCCAGAAAGCCAUAAAAUCGAGUUUUUCAUCAUUUUUCAGCAAUAUGCAUCAAGUAUAAGAGAAAACAAGACCUAACUCUGAUACCACUGUUGGGUUAUGAGCAUUCUAACACUCCUAUGUGUAAAAGCAACCCCAAAUACCUUGGAUCUAUGUUUUCUCUAUUAAACAUGCAAAUAAGAACUUUCCAAGGUAUUAUCCUAAUCUAGCAUACAAAAACAAUGAGAGUCACAAGAUAGAAUACAUACCUCUUUGAUGUAGAAAGUCUUCAUGAAGCUUGAGUGCCUAGUGCCCCAAGUGUGACACCUCAAAUGGUUCACACAACACCAAAUACACUUGGAAUAACUUGAGAGAAUUCUACACUUCAUGAAAAUCGGCUAGCCCUUCUUACUCUCACUAGUGGCCGAUUUUGUCAAGAAUAAGAUCUUUAUAUAGUGUUACAAUUAGGGUAAACCCUAAUUGUCAUGACUUUCCAUUUCCUUGGAUCCAUGGGUUCACAUACACCAUGGAGCAUCCAUGGACCAUCCUAUGGGUUUUAGCCCAACUUGAUUAUCCAUGGAGCAUUAGCCCACUAUACAAGUAUGGAUGAUUUACACAAUCAACCCAUAUAUUUAAUUAGUCUUCUUUUGUCACUUAAUUAAUUCUAGAUUAAUUCUUGAUCAAUACUAAUUAAAUAAUCUUAUUAUUCUUAUUAUUGAUAUACUAGAACUUAUAAUAUAUUAAUAACCAUAAGUGUCUUAUUUCUCUCAUUAUAGUCUAUCGAAAUGCAUGAUGCCAUGCAAUCCAAAUGGGCCAUGCCGGGUCGGGUCAAGUCUUACCAAUUAUAGUUAUGGACUUAGACAUUAAUCCAACAAUAUGGACAAGAGGCAAACGGAGUAAAAGUGGAAGAGGUUAUCAAGGAGGAAGAAGAAAUUGAGAAUGAUGUCAAUGAAACUAUAGAGUAGGUGUUGGGUAUUAACGAAGGAGAGGUUGAGCCACCUACUACCAUUAAGAAACUAACUCCAGUGGUAGAAUAGCCACAAGAUCCGGAAAUGAUAAAUUUGUUGGACCCUUCGAAUGAUAUGUAUCACGAUAAAGAGGAUGCCAAACCGGUCACUUACUCAACCACCAUGUCCAAAAAGGAAGAAUUGGUCACCUUACUAAAUAAGAACAGGAAAGAAUAUAGUUGUAUGAUUGCUAUUAUCAAAGGUCUAAGUCUAUUAUGGUUCUCCUGUAAAAAGAAAGCCAAAUACAAGAAAAGAGUCCCAAUGGAGGUGUGGAAACUAAAAAAUGUUGACACGGGGCAAGUUUUCAAGGUUAAUGGACAUCAGUUAAAGACUUUCUAUGGAGGUUUUGAUGGAAAUGUCCAAUUCAUCAUCCGUUUGUUUGUGGGCUUAGGGCAGAUUCACCCAAUUAACUAUCUAUUUGAUAUUAGAUGAUAUAUAGUCAGUAUAAACUAAGUGAUUAUAGAAGUAAUCACAGCGGUCACCAUUUUAUUAUAAGAAAUAAGGGUUUUCUUAAAGAAUAUUUUCAUUAAAUAUAACGGAAGUAUUACAAUUAACUCCAUGAGUAACAAGUGAGUACGCCAAGGUUGUAUACAACAAUGAUCUAACAAACAAUGGGAUGUGUGCUAUCUGCCUUACUUCCUGUUCCUUGUUUGGUUGUGGGCUUAGGGCACAUGCGCACAGUCAAUUGUUUGUUUACUCUAAGUUUUAUAUAACUUGUAUCCAUUUAGUACUCAUAGAAAGGAUUGUAGAAUCAUUUUUAUGUAACUUUCAUCAAAGUAGGAAAUAUAGGAUUUUCUAGAGGAACAUGCGAACUUUUCUAAAACAGAACUUAUAACUUACUACAUUUCAACUACAUUUUUCAACAACUUUCUAAAACUUACUUACAUCACUAAAAUCUUAUGAAAUCACCAGCUUAAUUGCUGAUAAACUCUUUCAAAUAACUUGUAUUCUCUGGAAACUAGUAGACAGGUACUCGCGCUGGGAAUUCAGAAGAUGGGGCGUAAUAGCUUCAAGUCUUGUUUUGUUAUUUUCUUAUGUAUUCUAUGUUUUGUGAACACACACAUUGUAAACCCUUUCUUUCUAAUGAAAUGGUUGUUCAUUACUUUGAUUACUAUGGUACAUUCCUUGUGAUACUAAACAUGACGUCCUCCGCCCCCGAACAUUUCCGCCAUUCCGGUUUUGGGUCUGACAGAUUGGUAUUGCUUAUAGUGAAAUCAGUAUAUCAACUGAUAAAAGAUAUACAACUAUAAAUACAACGGGGCUUAAGUGCUCUGGAUAAUUAUAUAUUUUAAGACUAUAACGAUAAGUUAAAAAAAAUAUUCCUACUUGCUUAUACAUGUAUACACUAGAACAAAUAUCAUAAGAAGAAUAGAACAAAAGUAUUUAAAGGUUGAACACUGCGGUCAAACCUGAACAGUUCUGUAAUCAUAGCUAGAAACAAUAUAGCCUGAUCAACUAUAUUCAUUCGAGAUGUGACCGACAUGUGUUUGGGAGUGAUGUGGUGUUGCAACAAUCUUAAAACUUACCUAACACCGGUCAAGAGAAUACUAGAUCAAGUACAUUACAUUAAAGUACUAUAGGAGUAUUUUAGGCUCUAUAUAAAUAACUUAUGUGAUAACUUAAAAGACCCUUACGGAUAGGUCUAUAAUCUUGCAAUGUAUACUCCCAAGGUUAUAUAUAAUUGAGGUUUUAUAGACUUAUAAUUUGUGAUCUACGCUGCUCUACGUGUUCCUUGUUUAAUUGUGGUUUUAGAGUAGGAUCACUUAUUCGAAGGUCUAUUUAAUCUUGAAUUAUAUACAACUUGUACACAUUGUACAAUUAUAGAAGGACUCUGUAAGGAUCACCCCAUAAAGCUACCUUAAAUGUCAUAAAUUCUCUAGUCACAUCCAUUCUUGCACGACAAACCCAGAUAGAUGUAACCACUUCCUCAUAGGGGCCAACAGAAGAGUCAAGGCGGAAUAAGAACAAGUUCAAUAGAAAGUUUUCAAGGAGGGAUCAGCCAAAGCAACCAAAACAUCAUAUGCUUCACACUAAUAAAUAAUAAUCUUGGUUAACUUAAUGAGUUAGUGGAAACACUGCUCAACCUAAAUGUUAGGAUUAUUUUCUUUACAUGUAGUUGGUAACAGUUAUUUAGGUAACAUAUAUUCAUUCGAGGAUAGCCAUUUCUAAUUCAUAAAGUUUACUUGGUAUAGACUUUUUAUGAAUUGUUUCUAGAACCCUGUGGAAGUCAGGAUCUGAUACACUCAGAACUAGAAUAACCAGAUGCACUACUCCGAUAACUCCAUCACCUUCUCUAUAAAUCGAUGCGGCAACUCUAAAUGCUGCAGUAGCUGCGGCUGUAGCAAUAGCCAUGGCUCAAUAUCAUCCAACCAGUUCCAGCGGAGGUGUAACACCUAUUCAUUCUACUCAAGGUGAGGUCUUUGUGCCCUCAAAAGAGUGCUCCUUCAAGGACUUGACCAACUGCAAACCCCUUUCCUUUAUUGGAAAUGGUGAAGUCAUUUAUCUAAUGCGAUGGUUCGACAAAAUCAGAUUUGGUCUUCGAGAUUUGUUCGUGCCUAGAAGGGAGCAAAGUGUAGUUUGCUGCCUACACCCUCUCCAACAGAGCCCUGUCAUGGUGGAACAUCCAUGUUAAGUCACUAACCCUAUCAGUAGCUAACUCAAUAGGUUGGGAAAACCUAAAAGAGUUAAUGCUAGAAGAGUACUGCCUAAGGGGCGAAAUAGAAAAGUUGGAACAAGGACUAUGGGAGCUCAGAAUGGUCAGCUCAGACACAACAACCUUCACCGACAUGUUUAGUGACCUGGCAACACUAUUCCCUUGGAUGGUUGCCCCGGAGAGCAAGAAGAUAGAAAGAUACAUAUGUGGUCUAGCUGCCCCAAUCCAAGGAGAUGUAUUGUCUUCUAACCCAGCUACAUUCGAUAGUGCCAAAUGCCUGGCCCAGCGACUCGUUAACCAUAGAGUUCACUAUGGUGUAGAAGUCCUCGAUCCAGAGUCAUCGAAGGGAAAGGAAUAUAAUCAGAAGUCGGGGAGCAAGAGGAAGAACAAGCGAACAACACAGGAACCACCGCAAGAGCAACAAGCGAGUACUAUGUAUGCUACUACAACGCCUGCUGCUCCAGCACCUCCAGUCGAUAUGCUGGAAACCUCCCGAAGUGUUGAAAGUGCAACUACAACCACACCGAAGUAGGAUGGGAAAUGCAGUGUCUGAACUGCCACAGAAAGGGACACACAAUCCAUUUAUGCAGGGCACCGGGUAAACCGAUCUCCCAACUCACCGGAGUUGAAGAAAACCAAGCCUGCUAUGGCUGUGGUGAGACUGGUCACUAUCAGAGGGACUGCCCGAUAACAAAGAACUCAAGCGCGGACGGACGAAUCCUGAUGAUCACCACAGGUGAAUCAACCCCAGAGUCAUCAAUGAGCAGCGGUACGUCUUCAUUCUAGUAAUUACUUUAAAAAACAUAAUUUAUAUUUAUAUAAGAUUAAAACUUAGGGAAAACAGUUAAGUAAUUAUAAUAACACACAUAUUGGAAAGGAUCACAGUAUUCAAGAGAACUAAAAGGUCCGUUCAAGCGAAGCUAUGAUGGCUCGGCAUAUACAUCAGGGUUGUGCAAAAAUAAGAUGAUGCAGAUUUAGAGUGAGUGAUUCUGCCUUAAUUACUAUUCCUUGUUUGGUUGUGAAUUUGAGGCAGAGUUACUCUGUCGACCAUCUUAUUUAUCUUAAAUAUUCAUAACUUGUAUAUGACCAGCGAUCGUAGCGGUACCGAGGAAGAUCAUGAUAAAGUAUCAUCACCAGUUAUAAAAGCACUUUUAUUUGUAUGUAUGCUCACAUAGCGGUACGAUACAUAUGAGUGAUAACAUCAAAAGGAGGACAGAAAACACUAGAACAUUUACAAAGAGUACAUUAUCGAACACACUAAGAGUACAUUGUCGAACACACUAGGGAUACAUCAUCGUAUAUUAGACAUAUCUUUCAAAUUGGCCGAAACUUUGUUCAGUAAAGAGUCUGUUACUAUCAUUUGUCAUGAAUUGGCGUGGUCCUCACCAUACUAAGUUCAUAUGUUUCUAUCACCUCGAUCAUGAAAUUCUCGGAACCUUGUCAUUUGUAUCGACAGUCUGACCAAAAUCUUAGUUUUAUCUUUCGUAUUCUAAACCGCGAAGUACUCAUGCAAAGAGUAUGUUGUCCUCUAAAUCCUUGUCAUCAUAUGUUCGCAGACCGUCAGAAAAUACCACUCGUCCAGCAGACCAAGUUCGAGCACAGAGGCUAAGGACGAAUACAACCCAACUAUCACUAUUCAAUGUAUACGCGAGAGUGGUAUAUGAUUAUGAUUAUGCAGCUCUAGUAUGUGUGUCUCCGCCUUAUCUCCUAUUCCUUGUUUUGUUGUGGAGCUGGGGCAGAGUCGCACAUCUGACCGUCUUAGUAAUCCUAAUCAUAUACGCAUUGUAUACACAAGGUAAUGAUAGAUGGACCAAGUAUGAAAUCCUAUGAUGAAAACUUGGGCAAAGUUGCCAGGUCUACGAGUGAGUAUUCUGCCAAUUAGAGGAGAGCAACCCUGUGGCACUAUAAGAAAGUUAAUUUCGAGAUGAAAUUUCGUCUAAUGGGGGGAUGAUGUGACAACCUGAGAAUUUUUACUUUGAAAGCUCAGUCAGACAACUCAACUUAAUUUUAGACUCACUCCUGUUAUCAUUUAGCACAAUUUGGAGCCUGUUUGAUCGUUCUGAUCCCAAUGCGCUCAAGGAAUGUGUGUUAGGAAAUACCGGCUAAAACCACGGAACAAAAAAUCAAGCUUAGCCUCUACAAAAUGGAUUUCACGGACUAAGCACAAGAGUUUACGGACGUAAACUGAAGGUAGGGCCGUAAAAUCCCCUAUAUAAGCUCUUAUUCUUCAACUUUCAUUCAUUAUCACAUUCCAACCUCAAGAACACUCCAUUUCUCUCUCAAGUAUCAUCCCGAUCUUCAUUCUAGAUCUUCAAAAGUUGUAAGUAUUCUUCCUUCAUAUUUUGAUACGUCUCUUAAUCUAGCAUCCCCUCAUGAUUUCAUCCAUGGAAAUCAUGUUUUCAUAGAUCUUCAACUUUCACCAAGAACACCGAGAACAUACACUAGUGUUUUUGGCCAAAAUCAACCAUUUUAAGCCUCUAUAUCAUAAGUAUUUUUCCCUACACUUCAUAUCUUGUUGGAGGCCUUGAAUUACAUCAUUGAAACAUGCCUUUUCCCUUUAAGAUCAUGAAUUUACGGCCCAAGAUCUUCCUUGGCCGUAAAAUCCAUGUUAUCGCAUGUUUGAGCUUUAAACUCUUCCAACAAGCAAGCCUUUGACCUUGAACCCUUCAUGGAUGUUAGUAGGACCUUAAACUACUCUCAAAUGCAUAAUGACCAUGAGUUUACGACUGUAAACUCAUUUGGGCUGUAAACUCAUCAAAAGCCUCCAUUGGUUUGGUCUUUCUCAUCCUUGUGUAGAGGAAAAGUCCCUCAAGCUUCCCUAGCCUUCAAACACACACCUAUGCAUGUUUGACCAUGAGUUUACAACCGUAAACUCUCUUUGGCCGUAAACCCAUGGUAGUAGACUCUUGUUAGUUCCAUUCCACACUCCUUAGUCCAAUCACAAAUGAUUCCAACACUUGGUCAAAGUGUUUCCUAGUCCCGGAAGGUGUUUCUUUUCAUUUAGUUGCUAAUAAUCACUAUAUUCAUGCCAAUAUAUGUCAUUUAGGACUUAUUGUGUCUCGGGACAUCAUUUGUAGAACUUCUCAUCCUUACGCGCGUAUUCGUUGAAUCACCCACAUCAGGUGAGUUCAUACCCCGUAAUGAAUCUUUUAACUGUUUUAAAUGCUUUUAAGGGGGGAAUACAACUUGAACACAAUUAUAAUUGUGUAAAUGUUUGUUAUAUAUAUAUNUAUAUAUAUAUAUAUCUUUCAAAAGAUUGCUUAUGUCCUUUAUAAGUGAUCCAAACAUAUCAAAAACUCUUUUUAACUUAUGUUCCUUUAUAGUUUAACAAAACUCCGUUUUUAAAGUACAAGCAUAACUUAGGAGUUAAAUGAGUCUUUUCAAUAACAAGUUCAAGUAAAACAAUAUUAAAUUAUAAGAGGUAUAGUUUAGGAAGAUACUAUUCAUUACUUCUAGUACAAUGAAGCAUCCAAAGAGUCGGUUCAUACAUAAGACAGAACAUACUAUAUGAGAAACAUAAAAUACUAUAUGAGGAACAAAAUAAACAUACUAAGUUGCUAUAGCAUGAAACAACUACAUGAUCUAAUUAUACCAAUAAAACACUAAAUCAUUGUUCUAAACAAAAGUUGAUAAUUAAAUUGGGUAUACAUGAUCAUAUAACUUUAAUGUGGAUGUACACGACUUGCAUUUGAUUGCAGAGGUUGCGUUUGGUUCCCACAAUCUUUUGACAGGGAGAACGUUUAGUAUGGGAUCUAGUCAUCACAUUAUACCUUAAUAAUCAAUUUAAGGCAAUUAGUACAAUAGUAGUUACUAUAUACAAUACUACAGUACUUAUAUUUUGUCAUUACUAUCAUAAAGUUACAGUACCACCUGAAAGUCAAUACAAACUAUUUUUGAGUCAAGAUAGUUAUAAACUAGAGAAAAAUAACAUUUUACAAACGACAAUCAGAACAGUCGGGCCUAGUACAUUCAUUAGAAAGGGACCAUAAUCCUAACUUUAUGAUUCCUUAAUGUGUACAUCAAGGGAUAUAUAUAAAUAGGAUCCGACAGGUAAUUGGAUGUGUGCGUUCCGCUUCAUUUCCUGUUCCUUGUUUGGUUGUGGGCUUAUAGCGGAUUCACCCAGCCUAUUAUCUAUUCGAUCUUAGUUAUAUAUAUGUUCUGUAUCCAUUAAGUCAUCAUAAGGGGUACCAGGUAUGGGUCAAGUCAUAGUACACUAAUACAAUGCCCAGUUUUCUAGUACAAAGCAUGCGUUUCACCAUAGGAGUGCAUGUACACCAUAGGAGUGUUAGAAUGCUCAAAACCCAUCAGUGGUAUCAGAGCCUAGACUUGUUUUCUUGUUAUACUUGCUUAAAUUGUUGAAAAAUCGAAGAUUUGUGUUGUCUGCUCAGCAGACUCGCCAAGUCCAUGAAGUGACUCGACGAGUCCAAGUGCAAACUCAUCCAACUCGCCGAGUUGGUUCAUGCACUCGACAAGUUGGACCUCCUAACAGCAUAUAUCUUCGAGUUUUGGUGCUGGAAUUGGUCUAGAAUAAUUAUCUUAAACUGUUUUGGACUUAUAAAAACUAUUUAUUGAUAUGGGAAUGAUUAUGGUAAACCAAUUUCAGAGUUGUUAUCAAAAUUUCAAGUUUUAUAUGGUUAAUUUUAUGAUUCUUGGAAUCGUUGACAUGUAUGUUCUUAAUCUUAUGAGCUUAGAUGAUCAUAAGAAUUAUUUGUAACCUCCUUGGCAGUUUAAUUCUUGAUCAUUAUGUUUUUAAUGGAGUCCAUAACUUGUCCUCAAGUUAUGGAUAACCAAAACUCACAAGUCAUUAAAUCCAUUAAAAGAACACAAUGGUUACAUAAGAUGAAAAGUCACUCAUUUUAAUAAGCCAUUAACUCAUAAUUUAUGAGAAAUGAAAAGUUUUGAAAGUUUACAAAACUUGGCCUCUAGUUUUGGAACAUGUAAAGUCAUAAUUAAAACUUUAGUUCCAAUCCUUAGAAUUUUAAAAGUUAAAAUUCAACCCUUAUACUUUAUAAUAUUAUAUGUUUAAUAAUAUUUAUAUAUGUAUAAGAAUAAAAGUCAUCUUACCAUUAGUAGGCCUCAUUCACGAAGUUGGUCUAUAAGGGGGGGGGGGGGGGGGGAAUNGGUUACUGCCUAAAAAAUGGCAGUUUAAUGGGUGUCCACUCUCACCCACCGCUUGCUUGACCGGUGGAGGGUCGUUAGCCGAACGGGUAGCACAAGGACAAGGUAGGCAAAGGGUAACUUAAUAUUUAUCAUAGUAUCGGUGGAGUGUGUGUAGUUAACCGACACAUCGAUUGAGGGGUAAAUAUUAAGGGUACCAAGUAUAUUUGUAUGGUUACUUUACACCUUGUUUUGUGAUCCUCGGCAUCCCAGUCACAAAACUUGUAGGGCACACUCGAGAUUGAAACAUGCCUUUGAAAAUUUCAAUGAAUCUGAAAAGAAUCUAGGAGUUUCAUAACCAAUUAAAACCUAAUAAUACAUUUCAUUUAGUUUGGUGGAAAUUGGUGAAUCGUCAUUCACCUACCUUUAAAUAUUUACAGCUUGGAUUACGGCAUCCCUCUACCACGUUAUAAAAUAGUUUGUUUGGUCCUAGCCUUAAUAUUUCAUAUUGGGUGUUAUAUUAAGGACUUAAAUCAACUAUACUUGUAGUUUUGAAUUUAUCCCAUUGUUGAUGUCUGGCUUAGACAACAACGAUCUUCCCAAAUCAAGCUUUCCUAAUGAAUGUGACUUCCCGAGUUUGGCUCAUGGAAAACAUACUUCUCUUCCUCCUCAUCCUCCAAUUAUUCUCCCUAACCCACAAGUUUAAGGACUUGAAAAGUUCAAGAUCACUCAAUCCCUACUCAAAAUAAAACAUAAAAUUGGAUGUCUUGUGUGCACUCAUGUCUUAGGACUGAAGUCACACAGUGAUAUGUUGAGAAUGUUGGGUGUCGUUGUUCGAAGGAAGUUGACUAUUGACUGGGUCUUUCAGUCGCUUCAUGAGUCAUAUAGAAAGACUACUAUGUGACAGAUCACGAGAUGACCCUAAUGGAUCUUAUUUGCUUAUUGCUGUUGAAAUAGAAAUGAAUUUGGUGCAAUAGUCAACUAAAUAUGGAUUCAAGGUCUAUUUCUUAAACUUCCAUGGACAUGGACAAUGGGUGACACUGGAAGUUCAGAAAAACUUUCUCUUCCUGAUGGAAAGGGAUUGGCCUUGGUCAACCCAGAGGACCAGGAGGUGAAGAGAAAGUCUAAGUCUAGAAUAGCAUGUGUACCAUUCCCAAAGGGUCUAUAUGUUCUCAGUGUGAAGAAAAGGGGCAUUGGAAGCGAAGCUGCCCAAGCUACCUGAAAGACAGAAGAAUCAAAAGUUUGACUUUGCUUCAGGUAUGUCCACUAUCUAACUCUGUUAAGUUCCCAGUUGAUGAUUCUCAAUACAAAAUGUGACUCGGUUGCAUUUUGAUAUUUUUCAAGAUCAAGCAAAGGGAAGGAAACUUAAAGAAACAGUAUGCUGAAUUUGAUAGCGAAGAUGGAUUUAUUUUGCUUGGUUGAAGAUUUAAUUCUUGAGCUACUUCUUAGGAGUUAUGAUAGAUUGCUAGGAAACAUGUAAUAGCAUACUUUUCAUUUAAAGUUGCAUUGUAAGGAAAAGUUUUUUUCAUAUUUUAUAAAUAAAUAAAAGUUUGUUAUACUUUGUUUUAUAUCUCCUUUCAAUGGCAUUUAUGAAAACUUGUUGUUUGUAUGUUUCUAGCAAUAUUGAAAAUAUAAAUUUGAUUCUUUCAUUUGUGGUAGUGUCUAAGUUUACCAAAUAUGGAAGGCUUCUCAUCACCCAAGUUUUCAGUUGGAUAGAAACUUAGAGUCAUACAAGUUGUACAGUAUGAUGAAUGAGAACUUUCGGCUUUCGAAAAUUAAGACUAGUUUCUUGUUCACAUGUAUAUGUGAGUCAAGUGAAGGACUAAGGGAUCGAGUACACAUUCUUGUGCAUUGGUCAAGUCUACCACAAAGAUCUAUAAGACUAUUCGUCAUUAUUUACUAAAGUCUAUUAAAUAUGGUUAUACUUAUAGGCUUAAGUAUAAUUCUGAAGCAUUGGAAAAAUUUCAGUGUAUGGCAGAACGAAUGAGAAGUAUCAAAUUAGGCAGAAGGAUAAAAGUUUCUAAAAUCUGAAAAGAUGCGAGAGUACUUUAUUAUGAUGUUAUAUGAUCAUCUUAAUGAUUAAGAGACCUUCUCAAAAUUCAUCCUCUAAGUGCAUUUUGACAGCUAAGAAGAGGAGCUAUUAAUUAUUGAAGUGUCAAAUCAAGAAGAUGAUUCAUACCUCAUUCCAAAAACGGUUCUUAGAGUCAUAUUUCAAGAUUGUAACUUUAGUGACAUAUCUUAAAGGAAGGUUUCUUAGCACUAGUCAAAUGUAAGAGUAAAAGUAUCCUACUCUUGUACAUUUGAAAUUGGUAAGUUGUGAUGUUUUGGUUAAAACAAAAACUAAGGCCAAUUGUGUGAAGUGUUUAUCUUGAUUAGAAUCCACACUGUCUCUUGAAUAUUUGACAAGAAAGUCUCAUUGGUCAAGAAGACAGUGGGAGUCUAAAAGAUCCUGAAAUGGUUUCAAGAACUAAUCAAGAAUAAAAACUUGUAUUUCAUCGCUAGCACACAGCUAGAGGUUUAUAACCUAUCGUGUUGACAUUUUUGUUCCCAUUCCAGUUAAGUUGGCUAUAUAUAUUUGAGUUCUACAUGUUCUCAAUUGUUUGCAUAACUACUUGAAAGCAAUGGUAGGCCCUUGUGCUGCCAGGUGGCAAGUGGUUAAGAUUGCACAAGUUCAAUCCAUAUGAGUUAGCAUUUGUCACUAACCUAGUCUUGUGAUUAUGGUUUUGACAUAUUCACGUGGAUAAGAACACAUACACCAUAAAAAUAUAAGUUUCAUAAUGUUUCUCUCUGAUUCCUGAAAAUGACGGUGAGGAAAUUCGUUCACUAAGAAGAUUUUAAGUAGAUAGCAAUUGUGAUAUUUGCAGUUCUCAAAGUCGUUAGCGGAGCGUGUGUAGUUAACCGGCACACUAACAUUGACUUAUGUGAAAUGGCAAAAAGUCUAAACAAUUGAGACUAUGAUUAUGGCAUCCCUUUUCAUAGUUCUGAAAUUGUUUAGACACACCUAUGAGCUACCUAAGAUAAGGUGUAUGAUUUUGAUAAAGUUUUAUCAAAGAAAUCUAGUAUCAGAAAUCCGAACUUUGGUAAGAACGUCAAUAAAGUAUUGACUUCUAGAGGUCCAACUGUUUUCUGGAUACAUGUCAAAGCUCGUGGGAGCAUAAGUGUUAUGCUAAUAAUUAUCAUGUUAGUGGGAGCAUGAUAAUUUGGUAAGUAUUUAAAGUUAGCAAUGUUAAUUAUUGAAAACAAAAGUUUCAGUUCGUGAGGUUGCAGGGGUUGAAAAAGUUGUUUUGCUAUAAUUAGGGGAGAGGAAAUUAUACUUCAUUUCAAUUCUAAAAAGCUUAGACUAAGUUUAUAAUCAUUUUAAAGCGCUUAUAUUUAGAUUUUAAUCACCUUUAGUGAAGAAUAUAUAUAUAUAUAUGAAUUUCAUGUUGGAUUGGUUCAACUUAAGAAAAUGCUAUAUAUCGUGUUCUCAAAAUUCGAUUAUGACUACGGCGUCACUUUUCAUAGUUAAGUUUUCCGAAUAUGGAAAUCAAAAAAAUUAUUAUGGAAAAAGACUGUUCUAGAAAAUGUCUUUAUGUGAAACAUCAUGAAUCGUGUCCCAUUUACUUUAGGUACAAGAUUGAUUACAUGUGCUAUAAUAUUUAUCCUUUCUAAAUUUUCCAAAUGCCUUGGGGCAUUAAGGAGGAAAAUGUCUAGAAUAGGAUAUGACAAAAGUGAGUAAGCAAUUGUCGAGGACAAUAUAAUGUUUACCAAAGAUUGGUUGCUCAAGGAUAGUUGGAAGUAUACGGUUGAUAUUGGAAGGACCAUAUUGACAUAGUCUAAAAAGAGGCAACUCCUGUUCAGAAGUGGUAGUCAAAAUGGGAAUAUAGAGUUGUCUUCAUAGGUGGAAGCAAUCUGUGUUAGGUUAAAGAAACUUAAUGCAAGAAGCAUGUUCAAAGCAAUGCGCUUUGAAUUUGAGAUAUCGUUUCCAUGGAAUUGCUCUCCAUUGGAAUACUCUGUAAUGAUUGUUGCCAAGUCUUUCUGGCUUUGUGCAUAAUCAUUACAAGAUAAAUAGUGCAUAUAUGUUUAAAAUCUAAACGGAUUUCGAUAAAUGUUAGGAAUUCUUACAUUUACGACAAGGAUUAGCAAGUUUGAAAAGAGAAUCAUUGAAAUUAUGUUCAAUCGAUCUAGUUCACAAAGUAUGGAUCUUAGAUAAACAUAGAGUGCAUACUUGGUGUAUGGCAAAGCUAUUGUUUAGAAAAACAUAGUGUACAUGCUUGUAGCAUGGGACAACUAGUGUUCUUACUUUAGGUAUAAAGUUGAUAAAAUCGAAAAAAUGAAUAAUGAGUAAUCAGUAUGGUGAUAUAUAAAAGUGGUCUAGUUAUAUUCAUAGGGUUUGAUACCAUAUUUGAUUCAUUUAUUCUUGUGUUUCACUUUGCAUGUUUUGACUUCCAUAAUAACUAGGUUAUUCUUUCGGAAUGACUAAGUUAUUCAAACCAUCCAUAGUCGAUCAUAUGUUGGAAGUUGAUAUGAAUCAAGACUGUCAUGGGUUGGCUUAUAGAGGGCCAAGUUGGUGGACAAAGUUGUGCUACAACACUCAUGAGUGCUCAUAAGUCUUGAGUAUUGGAUUAAACCUUCGCUCAUUUGAAUCACUUCAUGGAAUUUAUCACGAGUGAUCAUCAGACGAAAAUAUCUUAUAUUCUUCAAACCUAGAGAUAUGAGUUCUUCCUAUGAGUUGGUUGUACAUUAAUUGCACGAAAACGCAUUCGAAAACUCGAUGUUAUAAAACUUGCCUUUGUCUAUGAUUCAACAAGUAGUAGAACAAGCAAUAUGAUUCAAAGUUUAUGAAUUCCUUUUACCUUCGGGAUAAAGGUGAUAUAUGUGGGCCCCUCGAUGAUUUAAUGCUGACACAUGUGUGUGCUUGGCCAAGCCAGGACUGAUUUGAUUUGUUCAAUCAGUCAGUCGUCAUAAAUCCGAUAUCGGGAAACAACAAACGGAUAGAGAGAAUGAUUAUAAUUCAUGUCUUAGUCCAUAUGAUAUCUGGAAUGGAGGAAUAUAUGAUCCCUUAUCUAAUGGACAAGUCAUUGACAAAGGUCAGAGUUUGUUGACAAGGUCAGAGUUCGACAACGACUUUAAGAGCUACGAUUGCAAGUUAGGUUUUGAAGUCAUACUCAAUAAUUGUUUUAGACUUCUCCAAAUGGGAGACUGUUGGAUUAAUGUCUAAGUCCAUAACUAUAUUUGGUAUGUACUUGACCCGACUCGGCAUGGUCCAUUUGGGUUGCACUUCACCGACACAAUUUAUAUGGAUAGUCUUUUGAGAAUAGUAUAUUUAUCAUUAUAUUAACUUAUUAUAAGUUCUAAUAUAUUAAUAUGGAAUCAUAUUAUUUAAUUAGUAUUAAUAAAGAAUUAAUUUAGAAUUAAUUAAGUGAUCAAAAGGAGCUAAUUAAAUAAGGAAUCUUAUAUAUAUAUAUANNNNNNNNNNNNNNNNNNNNNNNNNNNNNNNNNNNNUAUAUAUAUAUGGAAUGGGCCAAGUUCAUUUAGGUUGGGCUAAGCUAUCAUGGAUAGUCCAUGGAGUUUCAACCCAUGGAUCCUUUGAAAUGAAAGGUCAUGGGUAUUAGGGUUUACAUGAAUGUAAACCUAAUCCUCCAUACUAUAUAAAUAGGUCUUUGCGACAAUAAAUGGCACUAGUGUGUGAGGACAUAAGAGUGGGCCAAUUUUAGUGUGCAUACAUAUUCUCUCAAGUUCUUCCAAGGUGUUUUGGUGAUUUGUGAUUCCACUUGAGGCUUCUACGCUAUUGGGGCUAAGCUCUUAAAGCUUGAAGACAUAAAGCUACAUCAAAAGGUAUGUCAUCUAACUAGAACUUCGUAGUAUAGGUGCUUCAUAAUAUGCUAGUUUGGAUGAAACCUUAGAAUAUUUAAUAUUUGCAUGUAUAAUAGAGAAAACAUAUAUCCAAGGUUUAUAGGGUUGCAUGUACACCAUAGGAGUGUUAUCACACCCCGAAAACCAGCACUUUAUAUGCACCCUCUUAUCACACCCCGAAAACCAAAGGCGGAAAUAUUUUCAGGGUUGACUCCAUGUUGACUAUCAAAUCCAAUGCACAUGGUAAAGCAGUAAUAAAAAAACAUUACAUUACAUAAUAUUGUUUACAUCUGUUUGAAAGUAAAGUUUUACAAGUGUUUUACAUAAGUAAUAUAAACAAAAGUAAACACGAGUCUUCGGGACGCUCCGUCUUCUCCAAAUGGUUGCGGUGUACAUGUCUAACGCUGACCUGAGAAUACAAGCGGUUUGAAAAUCAGCAUAAAGCUGGUGAGUUCAUAAGCGGUUUAGUUUUGAAAAGAACGAGUUCCUUUACUUUCUGGAGAAUUUGUUGAUCAAGAAAAUCCCAUAUUUUCUUAUGAAAACAGUUUAGUUAUCUUUUGUUACAAUUUUGAAAACAGUUGGUUAUGUCGUUCCAGGAAAAUCCCAUAUUUUCCUUGUAGUUUUAGUUAUUUGUUUGUUACUUUAUCCAUUUAUGUGUUGUUGUACUACCCAAGAAAAUCCCAUAUUUUCCUUACAGUUUUAGUUAUUCGUUUGUUACUUUAUCCGUUUAUGUGCUGUUGUGCUACCCAGGAAAAUCCCAUAUUUUCCUAUGUGUUGAGUUGUCUAUUUGUAUCUAGGUUCGUUACUGAUUGUAAUGUUAUCCUAGGAAAAUCCCAUAUUUUACUAUGUGUGGUGGUUGGUUCUUAAGUCUGAUUUCGAAGUACUAGUAAUUACCAUGUGAGUAGUAUUAGUUAUGUGUUUUAAACCCUUAGUUAUUCUACAUUCGGAUGACUAUAAUAUACUAACUUUGUUGUAUUUUAGAAUAUUUGGAAUCACACAGAAGCGUACAUUACAGUAUUUUCGAAGUUCUAUUGAGUUCGAAAAGAAUAUAUUAGUUGUGUAUUCGAAGCUUUGUCGACAUUCUGAGGCAGAUAUAUUUGAAACUCAGUAAAGGUCCAGAGGCAUAUUUUCGUAUUAGAUUCGAAACUCUUGUGACACUCAAGGAGUACACUAACUAUAUAUUUGAAAUCUUAGUGUCAACCAAAGGCGUCAUUUCGCAUUCGUAUUCGUAUUCAUAUUCGUAUUCGUAUUCGUAUUCGUAUUCGUAUUCGUAUUUGUAUUUGUAUUGGUAUUCGUACUAGAUUACAUUCAUUGAUCUUAAAUAUGAUUAGUAUGAUUUCUUAUUCAAAGAGAAUGUAUUUAUAACACUUUUAAAAGAAAUCUACGUUUAACCUGCAAUUCGAAACGUCAGUUACCAUAAAUCUUUGGAGAUCAAGACAUCUAGUAAGUAAAACCAUUGAGUUGAAAAUCAGUUUAAGUACAAAAUACACUUGUACUUUUUGCUUGUAUUCCCCCCUGAAAACAUUGAAAAACCAUUGAAAACACGGAAAAAGGGUAGGGGUAUGAACUCACCGGACUCAGAAAUGCGACGGUUUCGGACACUAAACGUCGGUUCGAGGCCUGAUUACUCGCGAUGUCCCUAUGUAAAAUGAAAUAAUGUCCAUAUAUAUNNNNNNNNNNNNNNNNNNNNAUAUAUAUCUAAUUAGAUUUACAAUCACUAAUUAUAUGGAACACUAUACUCCAAUGAGAUUAAUCACCUCAAAACGAGUGUUUGGAGUGACCCGGGCGACAUCUACGGACGUGUAAUGGCACGAGGGACUUGGGAUUUGAGUUUACUCCCCAAGAGUAAACAUUUCAGGAAGUUUACAACCAUAAAACACCUACAUACAUGAGUUCACGGCCGUGAACUCAUGUUGGUGUGAUUUUGAGUGCUUAAUGGCUUGUUUGGACUUGGGAAAUGUUGGAAUGGACUUCUAAAAUGCCAUGGAAUAAAUUUAUGGGAUUUAUACUAUGUUUAAGGGAGUUCAUGGCUGUAAACUUGUAGUUUACGGCCGUAAACUUUCCUAUGGUCAAGACUAAUUAUUUUGGGGCACAAGGGACAAUCACAUGUGAUUCUAGUUAAUUUUCCAAGCCUUGUUAUGAAUUUAUGGCACCAUUUAACUCACAAUUAGGAGUUUACGGCCUAAGAGCAUGAUCUAUGGUCAUAAACUCUUAUUAAGAUGAUGUUUGAUGUGUUUAAGGUCCCCAAACUAUUUUUAGAUGGCUCUAGAAUUUACCACAAGGCUAUUGGUUGAGUUUCAAGGCAUUUGGACAUGUAAAAAUGAGUUUACUCUCCAUUUUUGAGGGGUUUACCGCCCAAGCAUGUGCCUUGGCCGUAAACUCCUAUUUACUCCUCAAAAAUUAUGUUUGUAAUGUUCUAAGGCCAUUGCCAAUAUUCUAGAUGUCAUAUCUAAGCCUUGUUUGAGUCUACGAAGGAUUUAAGGGCUUAAAACCCUUAUAAUUUAGUGUUUACGGCCUAGACACCUUCCUGGGCCGUAAACUCAUAAUAAUCCUUCAAAAUCCAUGUCAAAAAUGUUCUAAGUCCAAUCCAUGAAGUCAUUAAGCCAUAUCUAAACUCUAGUUGUGGUUUGGAAGGGUUUUGUUGCUCAAAAACCGCUUUUAAAUGAGUUUACGGCCUAGGAUAGUUCUAGGGUCGUAAACACAUGAUAAUGGUCCUAAUCCAUAGAUUAAACUCGAAUUUGAAAGCUAAAGAGGUUGUAUAGCAUGUUAGCGAAAUUACCUCAAAGAUUUGAAGCCUUAAAUUGAUGAUUUGGACCCUUAAACUUGGAUUUAGGAGAGAGGUUAGAGAGAGAUGGUUGUGAAAUGAAGCAAAAGCUUCAAAUGAAAGCUUGAACACGUUUAAAUAGGUCCCAAACUUGGACACGAUGGAAUUCUACCCGAUACCAGCACUAAACGGGGCUUUUGGUCGCACCCGAUUAAGUUUUCGUGACUCGGCGGGAAUGUUUCUAAAAUUUUUGGAAUAAGUAUUUUGGGCUAAUUUCGUGAGUUCCUAAGAGUUUUGGACACUAAUUAGCGUCAAUUAAACAUACAAAUUUAAUUAAUUUAACCUAAAAACGACAUCGGAACGAAUCGAUUUACGGCAAGUUAUACAGGUAGAAUGGGUUUUCGGCGAUGAACAACUUCGGGUUGUUACAUUAUCCCCCUGUUAGAGGGAAUUUCGUCCCGAAAUUCAAUGAUUAUGAUACAAGUCAUGAACUUGAAUGAGAUACGGGUGGAUUUGCUGCUUCGGGUUUUCGCGCUCCCAAGUGACAUCGGGUCUCCGCUUGACGUCUCAGCGAACCCUCACUAUCGGGAUGCAUCUUGAUUUCGUUAGGUAGAUACUUCUCAAAGACUGAGACGUGAAGUAUCAGAUGGGUGCUAGUGAGUUCCUAGGGCAAUCGAAGUUUGAAAGUUACGAAAUUGAUUUCACAAGGGUCGCAAAGGGUCUACUGUAUCACGAGAGAAGUAUUUCGCUUUUCUAAAGCAUUCCAUGUUUUCCCUAGGAUAAAGCUUCCAACAGAAACAAAUUCCAACAAGGAGGUACAUCUUCAUGUGGCAGAGUAACUAAGGGUUUGAUGAUCCUGACAGAGAAUUGUGGGACCUGUGGGUUAUGGGCCCACGGUAUGGCUGGGUUGUUUACUACAAGAUCAAGGAAAGUGGUUUGACUGAAGGGUACCACUAUGAACUCGUGGUGAUGACAUCAGGUCCUGGUCGUUGUAUUGGAUACAUCAUCUUCUAGAGGUUCGGCUACGAGGUAGCUCCAUGAACUAGAUUAGUAUGAGACUUGACUAGACAUUCGGAAAAGAAUUCUCGAGGAUUCAUGGAAAGGCAUCAGGGAAAAAGUUACAGCCUCAGUAUAAAACAUGGAGUGCACAGAAAAUCAUGAACGUCCGGGUUCUCAAACCAGCAAAAGAUGGAAACUUCAUCAAUGUUCGAUUCAAAAUCUUGAGGGGAUCAGAGAAAUCCGAACAUGCCAUUUCUCUUGCUGAUCUUCCCAACUUAAAUCCUCAUGAUUGGAUCAUUCUGCACAAUAUCCUCCUCACCAAUGAAAAGGAAUAUGAGCCGAUCAUAGAUCACAUAAAAAGGAUGUUGGGCUGCGAUGUCAUGGAGGUUGCGAAGCUGGAUCAAGAAAUCGCAAUUGUCCUCAGAAAGAAGCCUACCAUCGCCCCAGUCGGUUCAGCAAGUGAUUUGAACAAAAUGCAGAUGGGGAGGAUUGACUCGAAGCGAAACUCGGUCAUGUUCACAAGAGGAGAAGGUCAGAAGUGUUUGUUGGCCUUAGCGGAUAAACAUCUUUGCUCUACAGCUUGUCUGGAGCAUGUUCUGGGGAUCAUCUAUCGAUGCAGGAAAAAGUCUGACAGUGACAAGAAAUACUUCAACGAUAUGAUCUAGUGGUAUAUUCGAUUCAGGGUAACUCUUCUCGCCAUCAUUCCUUGCUUAUUCAAUGUUACAAAGAAGGUUGAUGCUGCUGGGUCUAGUAAGCCGAAGUAGAGUCUCGCCCCAUUUGACGCAAAGGGGGAGAUUGUUGGGUGUAUGGUGUUGCGUCUUGGGCUCGGUUCUUAGCCCUGUUUUGUAUCUGGAUUGGGCCUGUCCAUCUGUGAUUUAUUUGUUAGGGUAUGAGUAUUUAUAGAUGGUUUCAUGCAUCUUAGUACGUAAGAUUUUUUGAGUCGAUUAUUCAUAACGUUUAUUGUUUUUAUCGAUUGUAACCCUAAAAGCCUCUCCAGCGGAAGUUCUUUGUCGAGCUCUGCUGAGGCUUGAAUCAUUAGAAUCAUUAAGCAUACUGUUGAUUCCAUCUCUUGUUUAUUACUUUGUUUGAAUCGUUUUGCCAAACCUGUGUAAGAUCUAAACGGUCUAAGAGAUUAAUAUCUCAUCAAGUUCAAGACGAAUAUAUGAAUUUUUGCAUGAAUGACUUCAUCUUGAAAAGUUGGACUUCCUUUAAAAUUUGACUUUGAAAGCACAUAGGAUAAAGAGGCUUCUUGUAUAGGUUCUUGAAAACCAACAGUUUCAGCUUUAAAAAACUUCAGAUAUAAUUAUAGAGAGACCGAUUCUUUUAGAUCACUUUAGCAAGUUCAUAAAUUGCAUCAAAUUGAUUGAGGAGGAUUCAAUGCAAUUUGUCACAUUACUUCAAAUAUAGCUUCACCUUACUUCUGGGGUUGAAAGCUUGUGUGUUAAAAUAUAAUCUUCACUUCUUGCUCCUUCAAAUGAAUAUUCUUUGUUGAUCAUAGAUGCGUCUUUGAAAAGUAACCAUGACUAAAAAGUCCAUGUGGAUCACAGAAUCAUAAAGACCCUUCUCACCAUAGUUGUUCAAGGACCCAACCUUGGCUCAGGUGGAGACUAGUCGUAGUAUCUAUGUGAACACGGAGGAACGCAUUGCAUAUCCUCAAUCAAUCAAAGAUCUCAAUCGUGACUACUUUUGAUGUUAACCCCUGCAUAUCCUCAAUCAAAGAUCUCAAUACAGUUUUUCAAGUUAACAAGUUAACUUGGCCCUUGGUGAGACGUUUGAUGGUUUUUGAUCCUUAGUUGAGUAUACCAUUCUAGUUCCAAUCAGACUUAAUUAGGAAUAACUCACAAAACCAUCUUGUGACAAAAUAUCUGAGGACAUAUUUCCACACUUUAGCAUGACACGAGGUCAAGGCGCUUUGGCGGGACAUUCAACGAUAAUUGUGCCUUGAGAGGUGCAUCGACCUAGUGCCAGUAACCAUUAAUUCCUUACCUGCAAAGAUUGUAUCCGAGAAUACAUUUGAGUCUUCGCAUUUUUGCAUGAAAAAGAGAAUGUCAAGACCCUAUGCGGGAUGUUCAGCGAUAUCUAUUUCCCGGUUGGGUGAAUCGCCCUGGUGCCAUGAUAAUUAUUAGGUAAAGAUAACCAUCAAGACUAAUUUGAAAAUCUGUACAUUUUCAGACUUUCAAUUCCUUAGAUAAAAAAGUUCUUAAAAAGAUAAUGCCUAACUGACAGUUAUUUAGAGAGAAACUGCCUAACUAACGAUUUGUACAGUUUCAUGCCUUCAAUUCCUUGUGGAAGUAGUGUGAAGUGUAAUUCCGUCAAUUCUUUUCAAGAUCUUUUCGCACAGAAAAUUACGACACAGACUCCUUGAGUCCCUUCUUCUUUUGAAUUCGAAUUUUAAGGCAAAUGAAAUUUUUUUGAGAUAAAUAUAAAAAUAAAAUAAACUUAAAACAUAAUAAAAAUUAUUAAGAAUACAAAUAAAAUUAACAUACGCUCAAAAAUAGAAAAAAAUAAUUUUGGAUUUUUGGAUUUUUCUGAAAAAGAAAUAAAAGAAGAAAUACAAUGAACAAAUUUUUGGAUUUUUGGAUUUUAUCAUUUUAUGAUUUUUAUGAAUUUUGUUUGGUUUUAAUUCUCCCCAUAAAUUUGUGCAUAGUGGGAAAAUAUGAACAAAUUUAACAACAACAAAAAUAAAAUACAAAAAGUACAAAAAAAACUCUUAGUCUUCAAAACGGAUCAUUUUAAGAAAACUCAGGAGUAUCAAGAAAAUUCAAACCAUAAUUCAGCAAUUGCAGCAUCAUCCAGAUGAUGUGAGAAUAGCAAGCAGAUGCAGCAACGUAUUCAACCUUAGCUGUGUUUCAAUUCUGGAACAAAGUUAACAUAUUCAAAAUUCAACAUGCCAUUAAAUAUGAUCCCCAUUCGUGUGAUCUUUUCUUUCUCCUUUCCCGCAAAGGACGCAUACCCUUAAUUAAAGUUCUGAAUGUCAUGCAAUUGAGGGAUGUCUCCUAUCAUGUGCCUGGAACAGCGACUAUCAACAUACCAAAACCUGAUGAUAUUCCUCUAUAGCUGCUCCGGCACAGAGUGCGGGAUUAAUUUGUUUUAAGAACCCAAUCCAUUUUGAAAUUGGGUUUACCAUUACUAUCUACACAAGAUACUCUUUCCUAUACCAUAUCCCUUUUAUCAAAUAAUGAAUUCAAAAAAUUUGAAGACCUUUUGGACCAGUUGAUGAUUUGGAAGAAAGAACUUUGGGUACCCAGUGGUAAUUUGGUUUGGGCAUUUUCUUGUUGGACCAAAUGGAACCUUUUUCACUUAACAUUGGAGCGUGAAAAACCUUUUGAUUUAGGCUUGUAUUAUGAGUGUGAGCUAGAGGACGACCCUUGAGAUCAAUUCGAACCUCAUCAAAUUUGUUUUGGAUGAACCAUCUCUUGAAUUAGGCUUCUUGUCUAGACAUGCUCCUUUUAUCCUUGAAAGUUUGAUUCUUGGCCCUUUUAGGAUUCCCAUCACAAAUGCGUGAACAUGACCUCGAAGGAUUUCUUUUGGAAGAUCUCCCCCUUGGCACGUUUUGCCAACCUUGUUUAUAGUAGUGAACAUAUGAACGAUGUGGGAAAUUUCUAGCAAUAUGACUGAGAGUCCCACAGUUAAAAUAGGUUUGUCUUUUCAAAUAAAUAAGAUUUUGACUUGGUCCUUGUCCAAAUGAAGUUUGUUUCAAAGACCUUCCAUAAGCACACGUACAUUUAUUAGACAGUUUAGCAAAAUUUUGUGGCUGGAACUUUUCAAAAGUGGGAUUAUCAUCAUUGCAAGUUUUUGAAGCCUUUUCAGCAAAACUAGAAUAAUUUUUGUUCUGCUUGAAACCAUCUUGCACAAUUACUUUAUCUGCACAUGAAGUAGAAGCAUUAGUGUCGUUCACAUUAAUACUCUCAGUUGGGCUGGACUGAUCAGUCUUGAUUGAUAUAGUAAUUGGGGGCUGAUCAUAUUGUGUAGGUCUCUUUGUCUCUGUGGUUUCAAGUGGCGGAGUAUAGUUAUCAUUGAAAGGAGGUGGAACAAUAUGAUACCCUUGACCCGUACCCUGUUUGUCUUUCCACUUUAAUUGUUUUUCAAUCAUAGACUCAACUUUCCUACUUGAAACAUCAAAUUUCUUAAAGUUAAAUUCAGCAUCCUUAAAUUUAGCUUUUAACGCAUCAUGUUCGGUAGUUAAUCUGGCAAUUUCCUCUUUGGCAUAGUGAUGAUGAACACAUUUGGUGCUAUAUUCCUCCCUAAUCUUAAUUAAAUCUUUAUUUUAAGCAUCUAGUUUUUCUUUAAGAGGCUUUAUGACUUUCUGAAUUUCAUAGAUUUCAAUUUUAUGGUUAAGAACCACUCUAACUAAUAACUCAUUAUGAUCAUGAUAUUUAUUAACUUUAUCUUCACAGGACUGAGAGCAUGGGUUUCACUUACCUUCUUGAUAUUUUUGUAAGAACUCAUUAUUUACCAAUACAAGAAAUCUGAUUGAGUAAAUGGAUUUUGACCGAAAACCAAGAAAAUAAAUGCUUGUCUGAUCGAAAAUACCAAUGGUCAACUCUCUAUUGACCGAGAACCUUGAAAGUCAACCUUUUGUCUGAAAUAAAAAUCUGGAUCGAGAACGAGGAUUCUAGACCGAGACCUUAGCCGAAAUCUUGAUAAACCAAGAAUCUAACCAAGAAUGGGAGGCCGAAGACUUUUGACCGAGAAUGUGGUUUCUUGACCAAAAACUUUGGCAGAUAUCCUAAUAAUCUGAGAAACUUAACUCAGAAGGCGAAGCCAAAGACUCGCACUGAAUACAUAGAUCGAGAUGUUGACCAAAUACGAAGAUGUUGACCGAAGACUAUAAGUAGUACCGAUAACUUAUUUGAACUAACCAAGAACGAGGCGCCUCCACCAAACUAGCCGACAACUCUCAAACCCUAACCGAAGUCACUUUGCUAGCAGCCGAAGACUCCUAAAAUCCUAAUCGAGGACGAGGUUUUCCGCUGAAAACUCUCAAAGAUAAGAUCGAAGUUGCCCAAAAACAAGAAAUUUUCAAAUUUUCAAACCAAAUUCGAUCAAAAACUCUAAAAUAAGGAAGAACACAAAGAACAAACAACAAUACUUUUAGUCAAAAUAAAUUAAAAGCACCAGAAACUCCAAGAAAAACUCCAAGAAAUUUUUAAUGCUUUGCCAAAUCAAUUGAUAACAAUCCAAGCUCUGAUACCAAUUAUAAAACCCGUUCUUGAUAUAUGAAUCGAAAUCACAAGAGUUGGUGUGGAAUUCGACUCAAGUGAUUAAUGCUAAACAAACAUUAACAAUUAGGAACACAGUUCACGAAUCUGCAAUGCAUACUAUAUUCAAGAAUAGUCUAAUACAUAAAGAUUCUUAAUUUUCUCUUGGUUCUCUCUUUCUCUCUAAAUCUCGAUCAUAAUUCCUUAGGAUAACCAACUGACUAACUCUAUCUUUUACGACUGAUAAUAUAUUAUAAACUAAACCUAAUACAAAGCCUUAAAAAUCGCAAGCCCAAACGAAAUCCUAUAAGCCCAAUGAAAUCACCCAACGAAAUCACCUUGUGAUUUUGGUCCAAACACCAUUGAGAAUAUGGAGAAUCCGGUCCUGGACCGAUAAAACUAAAAGAAAAAAAAGUAAAGUAUAAACCAUUAAUUAUGUCCUAACAACAAUGGUUGUUGCGUUGACUGUGCUACCUAAGAUGGCAUACCAUUUGUCAAACAUGCAUAUUAGUUUAGUCGUAAUAUAUCUGAACAUCUUUGGAAUAAUUUCUUUUACGACGGUUGAUACGGCUACUUCAGUGUAGCCACAAAUGUUAGUAUCCGUUGGUCCUGAUCCUCCUGAUCCAGAACCCGAAAAACUUCCUCUUGUGAUCAUUACCAUUCUCUAGAUAUUGAUGUGGCUAAAAUAAUAUAAAUCUAUAUAGUAUUUUGGGAUAAUGAUCGAUCCUUUCCAGCUUCUUAGAGACUUUGUAAUUCUUCUUGAUCCGAGUAUGAACCAUAUAUUUCUGAUAGUAUAGGACCCUAUACUACCUUCGAUACAUGUUUAUACCUAUCUAAAGAAUUUUUCCCAAUGUUUCUAAGUUUCUUACCCAAUUAGAAAUUGUUGCAAAAUAGCAUAAGUCCUAUAUACGAACUCCGUUACCUACUGUCUUUCUAAUGAUAGAAUAAUAUUGCCGAGAUUUAUAAUUUUCAUUAAUAUUAUUUUUCCUAAUAAUCUAUCGAUCAAAGAUUUGAAUUAUGUGGCCACACUACCGUACGAAGUCGGAUUUGAGCGUUCUUUAUAUGCACCCUCCCGAUUUAACGAUUGCGAUGAAAUUCAUUAUGAUCUAUUUGUUAAAAAGUGAUUUAUCAAAAAUUCACUUUUUUAAAAUUCGCAGAGUCACAUCAAUUAAAUUGCGAACCUUUGAAGAGGCAUAACUUCUUCAUAUGAAGACAUAUUUAAGCGUAAUACAUAUCUUUGAUAAUCGUAUCAACAUUUCCUACAUGCUCAUGAUGAUUAAUUGGGAUAAUGAUUAACGUACUUCUACUUUGAAUUUUAUAAACAAUGAUAUAUAUUGAAUCCUACGGAAUGGUAAAAAUGGGGUGUUACAACUCUUCCCCACUUACCAAAAUGUUGUCCCUACUCCUAGCGCACCUGAACAAUAUCUAAUUGGAGUCAUCAAAAUGUGGUUGACAUUUUUGUAUGUACACCUCUAAUAGAACCUAAUUUUCUACCUUAGACUUACUCCUCAGCUCCUCACGAAGUCUUCCAAAACUGGGAGUCGGUUGGGACUUUUUGAAUUUUAUUUUAUGAUGAAUGGUCAUCUUUGGGUGUGAAAUGUUGAUUUGUUCUCUUGACUAGGAGCAUCGUUGACUUGUUUUGAUGCGAGUAAAUAGAAAUAUUUAUAUACGAUUUCCUAACAUAAUUCUCUUUCAAGAAAAGGCUUAUAGUGUACCGUUUUGACUUUGUGUCAUAUGAUAUUUUUCUAUGACGUACCCUUAAAACAUUUACGAUCUUAGAUUAUAGGUAGCUUAUUUGGCUAGUUCAUGUAUCCUUGCAACCUCAAAUUUAACCAAAACUACUACAAUGGGUUUAUUAAAUUUUUACUGAAUAUAAAUCUCUAAGUCUUGUAUACGUCUAGAGUAACUGACGCUUUUUAUAUCGAUCUGUGCAACCUAGUAAAAUUCUUAUGGACCGGUCCUCUACUUCAGCUAUGAGGACGAAUCCUACAUUCUUUUAAACACAAGCGUAUCGGGUCCUCUUGACUAUCUGAGCCGAAUUUAGGAAUUCGGUAAUUUCCUAAAUCAUAUAUGAUGCUUGGGAGGAAAGACCAAACCUUCACUUGAGAAUCAAGAAGCUCAUAACACGUGGGUCAUCUCAGCAAGAAACUUCAUUCUUUCUUUACCCCAAAACUAAAUGAAAACUUAUAUCUACUUAGGUCGCAUUCCAUACAAAAAAAACUAACAAUAUCCUCCUAAUUGGGUUGCCACUCGGAUAACUUGGUGUCGAGGCCGAAAGUCGAGCUGAUCCUCAUACUUUUUCCUUACGGGUUGGUUCUCCCCCACUUCGGUUCAACCAAUUCUAUGUUACUACUUGUCACUGAUAGAUGCUUAUGUUGGAUUUGGUUAUAGUAUUGGUAUUUCCAUUUUAACCUUAGAGAAACUCAUGUUUGUCAUAUCCAAUGACCUUUGAUAUUCAUAUUGUACUACUUGUAUUCCUCAUAAGUAAUUUCCAUAAAAUAGGAUAAUCAUAAGUUGUUUGGAAAUACACAUACUUUUGACACUAGCAACUAUACGUAAAGUAAGCAUCCCGUACUUAUUAUAAUAUUUUUUUUUCAUUCAUUUAUUACAUUAGUUGAUGCCUAAGAAUAUUGUUGACUUGUAAGAUGUGGUCACACUCAUGCUAGAGCUUUCUAUCGUUUCGAAGAACAUGUAACUACAAACUCUAGUGCUUCACUUGCCUCCUCUUCCAUGAGUUGAAAGGCUCAUACUUUUGCUUUUGGGGCUUCAAGUCCAGAUUGCCUUUCAUUGGUUAUCUUUAAUUUCGUAGGUGCUGGAACUUGUAUUGCGCAUGUUAGCUUCGGAAGAGGGAAAUUAACCAUUAUAUAGCCUACCUGAUUGUAGUGGAAACAAAUGCGUAGUCCCCAUGCCGUUCGAUUAACAUAUAGGCUGUAAUUUCGUUCCUUGCUGCAUUUGUAGUAUAUCAAAACAUGAUAGGAUCCUUCUUGAGUUUUUCCAUACAUAUUGGACGAAGGACCUUUCUGUCGUCUAUACCUUGAAUCAAUGUGUUUGGAUCUUCUGGUUGCUGGCUGGGAUGUAGCUAGAAUCUGCCUCUUUUCCUUCGUUUGCGUUUCCGACCCAAUCUCCCUCUUCCUAGCAUGGUCUUCCAUCUCUACCAUUGUCUUGUAUCGAUUGCUCGAUACACACUCUCUAAUAUUUGUCUUAUGUAUGCUCAGGUACCAAGACAUUUGCACCUGUUUUGAGAAUGAAUAUUAUGGGCAGAAUAGGGCCCUCUCUGUGAAGAUCUUAGUUAUCUCUGUGUCCGACUCUUUUGUUUGCUUGAGCGACAAGAAUUAUUGAGAUUUUCAAUCAUUCUCCACAAAUUGUUCCCAUGUGAUUGCAUUCUUCUCAACUGGUGAAUAGUCCUUCAUGACAAAAUUACACCAGGGUUUCACCCCAUGACAGAGAAGAUUUUGCGUAUAACUAAACUUUAGGUCGCUUCGGCAAGAACAAGUGUAGAAACAUCCUUCUACGUCAAAGAUCCAUCUCAUUGCAAUGACUAAAUCCCUGACACUUUCAAUCUCCGGUGAUUUGACAAUGUUGAACUCCCUAUAGGUCAUGUCCUUCUCCCUAGGUGAGGCUGUGACAACAACGACAUUAGUGGCUAUUGCGGCGAUUAUGCUAGCUACGAUGAGAUACCAUUUGUCAAAUAUGUAUAUUCGUUCAGUCUUAAUAGAUCGGAACAUCUCUGGAAUAAUUUCUCUUAUGUCGGUUGAUAUUGUUGCUUCUAUCUAGUCGUGAAUGUCAGUUUCUCUUGGUUCUGAUCCUCCUGAUCCAGAACCUGAACAGCUUCCUCUCGUGAUCAUUACCAUUCGGGAGAUAUUGAUGAUCCAGGUAUGAACCUUGUAUUUCCGGUAAUAUGGGACCUUAAACUACAUUCAAAGAAUUUGUCCCAAUGUUUCUAAGAGGCUAUGAUCUCUUAUAGACAUGUCGUUUCACACGUACAAUGUUCCGAGGUCUAGCUACUCUCUUUCCUAUACUUUGAUAGGUUCUUUCGUCUCUACCGACACCCUACCAUACGAAUACAUGCCAUUCCAAGCAUAUAUUAAACUUCCUACACUAUCCUUCUAGGAUUCCUCUCCAUUUUUCUCUAUUAUUAGCCGAUAAAGAACUUUUAUUAGUAUUAGCAAGUUACUAGACAAAUACAGUUAUAUACCUUUAAAAUCAAACUGUUGAGUUCGAAAGUUGUUGUGAGGUGUUGAAGUCUGUCUGAGUUUGUAUUAGUGUCGAAGCAUGUUUGUUUGUUUAUUAUAAGGGUAAUGUUAGUGACAAAAUAGUAAUGUUUAGUCCCUUAUAUUUUUUGUACGCUUUUGUUAUCCCUAUAAAUGUGGGGUGGGUACUAGAGUUAUAAUAGUUCUUGGAGUGUUGAACUUGUACUCUCUAUUUCUCUUUGUAUCUUAUCAAAGGGUAAUCAAGCCAUACAUAUCAUAUUUACAUCUUGUGUUCAUAAUUCAUCAAAUACUCUGAUCUAGUUUAAUAUUCUCGUUUAAUUACGACUACAUUUGGUAUCAGAGUAGGAUUCUUUCAGUUUUGAUCUAAUUUUCUUUAGUUUUCAAAAGGUUUUGAGUCUCGUUCUAGAUUCAAAAUAUUCUGCUCUUUUGAUUCUGUAAUCAUCACAUACCAUCUAUUUUGAUUCAAUGAUGCUUGUAGUUUGUAAGAUCGAGUAUUCUGUUUUAGUUUUCUAGAAGUUUUGUCAAUCAAAUCUCAAUUUCUGAAGCUUUUCACAAAUUUCAUCCGUACAACAAUGGUGAACUUUAACAUGAACAUCAUGAAUUCAUACUCUCAUCUUCUUGGUUCAUCCAGUAAUAUUCCUAUGUUGAUUCCAUAAUUCUAUGAACAAUGGGAUGAUCGAACGCAGGACUAUCUGAAUGGAAUCGAUGAGGAUCUAUGGAAAUACAUUGUUGGUGAAGUUCAUUCUCCUACUGCCAUGCAAAAUAUUGGAACCGUUGCUAGCAAUCCAAUUGUUGCUCAACAAUCUGAGAAACUACUGAAAAAUGAAAAGAAAUGUAUGCGUGAACUCAAUGUUGCUCUUCCACCUGUUGUUUACAACUAUAUGUGUAGUUCUAAGACUUCAAAGGAGAUUUGCGACACACUGAAAGAGAAGUACCAAGGAAGAAAAAAAACAAAGAUAAGCUCAGCUAUGUAGUGUCUGUUAGAGUUGGGAGAGUUUAAGGAGAAGAAAGGAGAAUCUAUUGAGCUCUACUAUGAUUGUCUGAAUGAAUUAAUCUAAAGGUGCAACACAUAUGGAGUUACAAGGUCAACAAUGUAGUUCAACUUGAUUUUCAACAUGGGACAUCACAAGGAAUGGCGCAACGUCAGCUUAGUGAUAAAAAUGUUGGGUUUUGAGCAUUCUAACACUCCUAAGUGUACAUGAAACCCUAAAUACCUUGGAUCUAUGUUUUCUCUAUUACCCAUACAAAUAUGAAUAUCCAAGGUAUUAUCCUAAUCUAGCAUACAAAACAAUGAAUAUAACAAGAUAGAAUACAUACCUCUUUCAUGUAGAAAGUCUUCAUGAAGCUUGAGUGCCUAGUGCCCCAAGUGUGACACCUCAAAUGGUUCACACAACACCAAAUACACUUGGAAUAACUUGAGAUAAACUUGAACACUCCAUGAAAUCGUUUAGCCCUCACACACACACAUAGUGCACGAUUUCUUGAGCCAUGGGAUUCUUUUAUAUGGCGGCUAUUAGGGUUACACCAUGUAACUCAUGACUUUACCCAUUCCUUAUGCUCCAUGGAUUUUAACCUUCAUGGAGCAUCCAUGGGUCACCCCAUGGACUUAGUCUAACAUAAGUAAUCUUGGAUCACAAGACCACAUAUAUAAGAAUGAAUGAUUUACACAAUCAACCCAUAUAUUUAAUUAGUCGCCUUUUGAUCAAUUAAUUAAUUCCAAAUUAAUUCUUGAUCAAUACUAAUUAAAUAACCUUAUUAAUAUAUUAGAACUUAUAAUAUAUUAACAAACCUUAAGUUUUAUUUCUCUCAUUUUAGUCUAUCCAAAAUGCAUGAUGCCAUGCAACCCAAAUGGACCAUGGCGGGUCGGGUCAAGUCUUACCAAUUAUAGUUAUGGACUUAGACAUUAAUCCAACAGUCUCCCAGUUGGAUAAGUCUAAAACUAUUAUUGCGUAUGACUUCAGGAACCAACUGGCAAUCGUAGCUCUCAAAAGCUUCUGUCGAACUCUGACCUUGUAGAUGAACUCUGACCUUUGUCAAUGACUUGUCCAUUAGAUAAGGGAUCAUAUAUUCCUCCAUUCUAGAUAUCAUAUGGACUGAGACAUGGAUUAUAAUCAUUCUCUCUGUCCAUUUGUUGUUUCCCGAUUUCCGAUUUAUGACGACUGACUAAUUGAACAAAUCAAAUCAGUCCUGGCCCUACCGAGCACUUCCAUUUGUCAUCAUCAAAUCAUCGAGGGACCCAUAAAUAUUUCUUUUAUCCCAAAGGUAAAAGGAAUGGAUAAACUUCGACUCAUAUGGCUUAUUCCAUUACUUGUUGAAUCAUACACAAAGGCAUCUAUAACACCGAGUUACCAAAUGCGUUUUCGUGCAAUCAAUGUACAACCAACUCAUAGUAACAACUCAUAUCUCUAGGUUAGAAGAAUAUAAGAUAUUAUUGUCCCAUGAUCACUCGUGAUAAAAUCCAUGAAGUGAUUCCAAUGAGCGCGGGUUGAAUCCAAUACUCAGAACUUAUGAGCACUCAUGAGUGUUGUAGCCUUUUUUCCAACAUCUUAGACCUCUACAAGCCAACCCAUGAUAGUCUUGACUCCUAUAUACUUCCAACAUAUGACCUACUGUGGAUGGUUUAAAUAACUUAGUCAUUCCUGAAGAAUAACCUAGUUUAUUCUGCAUGUCAAAACAUGCAAAAUGAAACACAAUAAUAAUUGAAUCCAAUAUGGUAUCAAAACCUAUGAACAUAAAUAAACCACCUUUUAUUUAUCACCAUAUGAUAACACAUUAUUAUUGUAUACUGUUUCAGCUAUCAACUUUAUUCUUGAAUUUAAAACAAUAGUUGUCCCAUGCUCCAAGCAUGUACACUAUGUUUUCUUAAACACUAGUCAUGCCACACACCAAGUAUGCAUACUAUGUUUGUCUAUGAUCUUUACUUUGUGAACUAGAUCAAUUGAACAUAACUUCAAUGAUUCUCUUUUCACACUCCCAAAUCCUUACUGCAAAUGCAAGAAUUCCAAAUUCAUGCCAUUUACUGAAAUCUGUUAGAUUCUAAACUUAUAUGCAUUGAUCCUCUUGUAAUGAUUAUGCACAAAGUCACAAAGACUUGGCAACAAUCAUUACAGAGUAUUCCAAAGGAGAUCAACUCCUUGGAAAUAUCCUUCUUGCAUUAAGUUUCCUUAAUCUUACACAGAUUGAAAAUUCUAACUUUGAAACAUUUCCAGAUUCCAUUUUGACUAUCACUUCUGAACAAGAGUUGCCUCCUUACAGAUUAUGUCAAUAUGGUCCUUCCAGAAUUAUCACUAUACUUCCAAUUGUCCUUGAGCAACCAAUCUUUGGUAAACCUUAGAUUGUCCUCGACAAUUGUUUAAUCCUUUUAGUCAUAUCCAGUUCUAAACCUUUUCCCUUCUUAAUGCCCCAGGCAUUUGGAAAAUUUUAGAACGGAUGAAUAUAGCACAUGUAAUCGAUCCUAUAUCCGAAGCAUAUGGGACACGAUUCAUGAUGUCUUACAUAAAGACUAAACCAGUCUUUUGCUAUAAUAUUUCCAUUUCAAUUUGCCAAGUUCUCAUAAUUCAGAUUAUGAAAAGGGAUGCCGUAAUCAUAAUCGAAUUUUAGAACGCAAAUAAUGGACCCAUAUACAGAAUUUCCUUAUGUUGAGCCAUUCCAACAUGAAAUUCAUAUAUAUCCUUGACUAAAUGAUUAAAACCUCACGAUCUAAGCUUAUAGAUUUGAGAUGAAGCAUAAUUUCCUCUCCCUUAAUUAUAGCAAAACAACUUUUUCCCAAUUGAAACUUUUGUUUUCUAUAAUUAACAUUGCUAACUUGCAAUACUUAUCAUAAUUAUCAUGCUCCCACUAACAUGAUGAUUAUUAGCAUAACACUUAUGCUCCCACUAGCUUUGACAUGUACUCAGAAAUCAACUGACUUUCUUACCAAAGUUUAGAUUUCUGAUACUAGAUUGUUUUGAUAAAACUAUUUCAAAAUCAUACACCUUCCCUUAGAUAGCUUAUAGGUGUGUCUAGAAAAUUAUGAAGAGGGAUGCUGUAAUCAUAAUGGUUAGACCUUUUUUCUACUUCUCACAAGUCCAGGUUAGUGUGCCGGUUAACCACACACGCUCCACUUAUGACUUUGAGAAUGCAAAUAUUGCAAAUGCUAUCUAGCUAAAAUCUACUUAGUGAAAGUGUUUCCUCACCAUCACUUUGAUGAAUCGGAGAGAAACCUUAUGACAAUUAGAUUUUAUUGUGUAUGAGUUCCUACCCAUAUGAAUUUGUCAAAACCAUAAUCACAAGACAAGGAUAAUGACAAAUCCAAACUCAUAUGGAUUAAAAUCAAUCUUAAUUUCUUGCCACCUGGCAGCUCAAGGGCCUGCCAUUGCUUCGAAGUUGUUGUGCAACCAAUUGAGAACUCUAAAAACUCAUAUGCAAACCCAACUUUAACUGGAAUGGGCACAUAAUAUGUCAACAUGAUAGGGUAUAAACCUCAAGUUGUGUGCUAGUGAAGAACUUUAGGUUUUAUUCUUGAUUAGUUCUUGAGACUUUCAAGACUUUUAAGACUCCUACUGUCCUCUUGACAUAUAAGACUUUCUUGUCAGAUAUUCAAGAGAUAGUGUGGAUUCUCAUCAAGACAAACACUUCACAAAAUUGGCCUUAGUUGGUCUUUGUUUUAUCCAAAGCAUCACAACUUACCAAUUUCAAAUGUACAAGAGUAGAAAACUUUACUCUUACAUUUGCCAUGUGUUUUAAACCUUCUCUAAGACAUGUCACUCAAAUUACAAUCUUGGAGUAUGAAUCUUAAUUCAAGUUCCUCUUUUUAGUCAUAAGAAUGCACUAAGAUUUCCUUAGCGAACUAAUUUUGAUAUGGUUUCUUAAUCAUUAAGAUGAUCACAAAAACUGAUACUAAAGUACUCUCCCAUCUUUUCAGAUUUGAGAAACUUUUAUCC
rnacentral:lncRNA from 1 species